AUGGCGAAAUAUUAUGCUAACCGCAUAAGGGAGAAGUACUCUGACAUAAUUCCUGUGAUCGUUGAGAAGGCUGGGAAGAGUGAUAUUCCUGACAUUGACAAGAAAAAGUACCUUGUUCCUGCUGACCUUACAGUUGGACAGUUCGUGUACGUUGUCCGGAAGCGGAUCAAGCUCAGUGCUGAGAAGGCCAUCUUCAUCUUUGUGAAGAACACUCUUCCACCGACAGUAUUAUGCUCUCGAAUGGACAAUCUUAUAUCAGAACAAUACAAUAGUCAGAGUACACAGAACUUUAUGAUUCACAUUCAAUAUUUUGUAACAAUAAUCACACUCAUUUACUGA
rnacentral:rRNA from 1 species